rnacentral:rRNA from 1 species
GACGAACGCUGGCGGCGUGCUUAACACAUGCAAGUCGAACGGAAAGGCCCUGCUUUUGUGGGGUGCUCGAGUGGCGAACGGGUGAGUAACACGUGAGUAACCUGCCCUUGACUUUGGGAUAACUUCAGGAAACUGGGGCUAAUACCGGAUAGGAGCUCCUGCUGCAUGGUGGGGGUUGGAAAGUUUCGGCGGUUGGGGAUGGACUCGCGGCUUAUCAGCUUGUUGGUGGGGUAGUGGCUUACCAAGGCUUUGACGGGUAGCCGGCCUGAGAGGGUGACCGGCAAAAGUGGGAAGGAGAGACAGCCGGGAGUCCUCGGGGAGGAGGGAGUGCGGGGUGGUGGAGCAGGCGCGGAGGUCUGAUGCAGCAAUGCCGCGUGCGGGAUGAUGGCCGACGGUAUGGAAACCAGAAGCGCCGGUGAAGAAGCGUGAGGGACGGGAAUAGGUAGAGAAGAACCGGACACAUACGGG